rnacentral:misc_RNA from 1 species
UUUGGCGAAAUUCAACUCUGCUCAAUUGAAGGAGAUUGCAAUUGGUCUUGAAGCUUCCGGGAAAAAAUUCAUCUGGGUUGUAAGGAAAGGGAAAGGGGAAGAAGAGGAAGACGAACAAAAUUGGCUACCGGAAGGGUUCGAACAGAGGAUGGAAGGAAGAGGGCUGAUUAUAAGAGGAUGGGCACCGCAAGUUUUGAUAUUGGACCACCCAUCGGUGGGUGGAUUUGUGACACAUUGUGGGUGGAAUUCCACGUUGGAAGGAGUGGCUGCCGGAGUUCCGAUGGUGACAUGGCCGGUGGCGGCGGAGCAGUUUUACAACGAGAAACUGGUGACGGAGGUGCUGAAAACAGGGGUUGGUGUUGGGGUUCAGAAAUGGGCACCUGGUGUCGGAGAUUUCAUUGAAAGUGAAGCUGUGGAGAAGGCGAUUAGGAGAAUAAUGGAGGAAGAAGAAGGUGAAGAGAUUCACCUUCCCAACUGCCCUCUUCGCCUUCCUUGCAAGUUCUGUUGCUCUGUUUCUCAUCUCUUCACCUU